rnacentral:rRNA from 2 species
GAUCCUGGCUCAGGAUGAACGCUAGCUACAGGCUUAACACAUGCAAGUCGAGGGGAAACGACAUCGAAAGCUUGCUUUUGAUGGGCGUCGACCGGCGCACGGGUGAGUAACGCGUAUCCAACCUGCCCAUCACUUGGGGAUAACCUUGCGAAAGUAAGACUAAUACCCAAUGAUAUCUCUAGAAGACAUCUGAAAGGGAUUAAAGAUUUAUCGGUGAUGGAUGGGGAUGCGUCUGAUUAGCUUGUUGGCGGGGUGACGGCCCACCAAGGCGACGAUCAGUAGGGGUUCUGAGAGGAAGGUCCCCCACAUUGGAACUGAGACACGGUCCAAACUCCUACGGGAGGCAGCAGUGAGGAAUAUUGGUCAAUGGGCGAGAGCCUGAACCAGCCAAGUAGCGUGCAGGAAGACGGCCCUAUGGGUUGUAAACUGCUUUUAUAAGGGAAUAAAGUGAGUCUCGUGAGACUUUUUGCAUGUACCUUAUGAAUAAGGACCGGCUAAUUCCGUGCCAGCAGCCGCGGUAAUACGGAAGGUCCGGGCGUUAUCCGGAUUUAUUGGGUUUAAAGGGAGCGUAGGCCGGAGAUUAAGCGUGUUGUGAAAUGUAGAGGCUCAACCUCUGCACUGCAGCGCGAACUGGUCUUCUUGAGUACGCACAACGUGGGCGGAAUUCGUGGUGUAGCGGUGAAAUGCUUAGAUAUCACGAAGAACUCCGAUUGCGAAGGCAGCUCACGGGAGCGCAACUGACGCUGAAGCUCGAAAGUGCGGGUAUCGAACAGGAUUAGAUACCCUGGUAGUCCGCACGGUAAACGAUGGAUGCCCGCUGUUGGCCUGAAUAGGUCAGCGGCCAAGCGAAAGCAUUAAGCAUCCCACCUGGGGAGUACGCCGGCAACGGUGCAACUCAAAGGAAUUGACG